rnacentral:rRNA from 1 species
AACGCGAAGAACCUUACCAGGCCUUGACAUCCAAUGAACUUUCUAGAGAUAGAUUGGUGCCUUCGGGAACAUUGAGACAGGUGCUGCAUGGCUGUCGUCAGCUCGUGUCGUGAGAUGUUGGGUUAAGUCCCGCAACGAGCGCAACCCUUGUCGUUAGUUACCAGCACGUUAUGGUGGGCACUCUAAGGAGACUGCCGGUGACAAACCGGAGGAAGGUGGGGAUGACGUCAAAUCAUCAUGCCCCUUAUGACCUGGGCUACACACGUGCUACAAUGGUUGGUACAACGAGAAGCGAACCUGCGAAGGCAAGCGGAUCUCUUAAAGCCGUUCUCAGUUCGGACUGUAGGCUGCAACUCGCCUACACGAAGCUGGAAUCGCUAGUAAUCGCGGAUCAGCACGCCGCGGUGAAUACGUUCCCGGGUCUUGUACACACCG